AUACGAAGGUGGCGAGCGUUGUUCGGAAUCACUGGGCGUAAAGCGCGCGUAGGCGGCCGGGUAAGUCAGGUGUGAAAGCCCUCGGCUCAACCGAGGAACGACAUCUGAUACUGCUUGGCUUGAGGCCCGGAGGGGAGAACGGAAUUCCUGGUGGAGCGGUGAAAUGCGUAGAGAUCAGGAGGAACUCCGGUGGCGAAGGCGGUUCUCUGGACGGGUUCUGACGCUGAGGCGCGAAAGCUAGGGGAGCGAACGGGAUUAGAAACCCUAGUAGUCC
rnacentral:rRNA from 1 species